CGAGCACGCGCGUGUGGCAUAUCAAUAAGCGGAGGAAAAGAAACUAACAAGGAUUCCCUUAGUAACGGCGAGUGAAGCGGGAAGAGCUCAAAUUUGAAAUCUUCAAGGUUCUUACCUUGACGAAUUGUAGUUUAUAGAAGUGUUUUCUGUUAGUGGAGUGGCAAAAGUUCUUUGGAAUAGGACAUCAUAGAGGGUGAGAAUCCCGUAUUUGGUCAUUCCUCCUAGCGUUGUGAUACACUUUCAACGAGUCGGAUUGUUUGGGAAUGCAGUCCAAAAUGGGUGGUAAAUUUCAUCUAAAGCUAAAUAUUGGCGAGAGACCGAUAGCGAACAAGUACCGUGAGGGAAAGAUGAAAAGAACUUUGAAAAGAGAGUUAAACAGUACGUGAAAUUGUCAAAAGGGAAGCGUUUGACACCAGUGUUGUUUUUCCGAAAAUCAAUUACGAAUGUUUUAUUUUUGAGGAGUUAUGACUUCAUCGGCUUGCUCCUUUCUUUACGAAACUUUCUUAAUGCACUUUUCGGUUAACAAGUCAACAUCAAUUUUCUUUUGUUGUAAAAGGGUAUGAGGAAGGUGGCUUUCUUUUCGGAGAAAGUGUUUAUAGCCUUGUGCCUCUACAAUCGGAGAGAUUGAGGUCUGCAGCGUAGAUCCUUCGGGGUUAGAUACGUUUGCUGCUAAGUUAUAGCUUUCUCAUAGACAACUUGUUGACUAUGUUUAGUCUCUGUAGCUUACUCGCUGAUCGCUAUUUUACCUACGCUUAGGAUGUUGAUGUGAUACUGCGAGC
rnacentral:rRNA from 1 species